rnacentral:rRNA from 1 species
UACGUAGGGGGGCAAGCGUUGUCCGGAAUUAUUGGGCGUAAAGAGCGCGUAGGCGGUCCGGUAAGUCAGCUGUGAAAGUCAAGGGCUCAACCCUUGAAAGCCGGUUGAUACUGUCGGGCUAGAGUCCGGAAGAGGCGAGUGGAAUUCCUGGUGUAGCGGUGAAAUGCGCAGAUAUCAGGAGGAACACCAAUUGCGAAGGCAGCUCGCUGGGACGUUACUGACGCUGAGACGCGAAAGCGUGGGGAGCAAACAGG